ACGCUCGACACCUACGAGAGGCAGCAGUUGGGAAUAUUGGACAAUGGAGGAAACUCUGAUCCAGUGACGCCGCGUGAAGGAAGAAGGUCUUCGGAUUGUAAACUUAUUUUGUCAGGGAAGAAAAAUGACUGUACCUGAAGAAAAAGCACCGGCUAACUACGUGCUAGCAGCCGCGGUAAUCUGAGCGGGCUGGCAAGGC
rnacentral:rRNA from 1 species